rnacentral:rRNA from 1 species
UACGGAGGGUGCAAGCGUUAUCCGGAUUCACUGGGUUUAAAGGGUGCGUAGGCGGGCAUUUAAGUCAGUGGUGAAAUACCUGAGCUUAACUUGGGAACUGCCAUUGAUACUAUUUGUCUUGAAUGUCGUGGAGGUUAGCGGAAUAUGUCAUGUAGCGGUGAAAUGACUUAGUAUAUGACAUAGAACACCUAAUUGCGAAGGCA